ACCAGCUGACGAGUCCCGAAUAGGACGAAACGCGCAUCCUGGAU
rnacentral:hammerhead_ribozyme from 1 species